GCCGGGCGUGGUGACUCAUGUCUGUAAUCCCAGCACUUUAGGAGGCUGAGGCGGGUGGAUCACCUGAGGUCAGGAGUUCUAGACCAGCCUGGCCAACAUGGUGAAACCCCGUCUCUA
ensembl:misc_RNA Metazoa_SRP Metazoan signal recognition particle RNA